GAUGAACGCUGGCGGCGUGCUUAACACAUGCAAGUCGAGCGGAGAUAAAUUGAAAGCUUGCUUUUAAUUUAUCUUAGCGGCGGACGGGUGAGUAACGUGUGGGCAACCUGCCUCAUACAGAGGGAUAAUCAUGUGAAAACGUGACUAAUACCGCAUGACGUUUCGGGAGGGCAUCCUCCUGAAAGAAAAGGAGCAAUCCGGUAUGAGAUGGGCCCGCAUCUGAUUAGCUAGUUGGUGAGAUAACAGCCCACCAAGGCGACGAUCAGUAGCCGACCUGAGAGGGUGAUCGGCCACAUUGGGACUGAGACACGGCCCAAACUCCUACGGGAGGCAGCAGUGGGGAAUAUUGCACAAUGGGGGAAACCCUGAUGCAUCAACGCCGCGUGAAGGAAGACGGUUUUCGGAUUGUAAACUUCUAUCAAUAGGGACAAAAAAAGUGACUGUACCUAAAUAAGAAGCCCCGGCUAACUACGUGCCAACACCCGCGGUAAUACGUAGGGGGCAAGCGUUAUCCGGAAUUACUGGGUGUAAAGGGUGAGUAGGCGGCAUGGCAAGUAAGAUGUGAAAGCCCGAGGCUUAACCUCGGGAUUGCAUUUUAAACUGCUAAGCUAGAGUACAGGAGAGGAAAGCGGAAUUCCUAGUGUAGCGGUGAAAUGCGUAAAUAUUAUGAAAAACACCAGUGGCGAAGGCGGCUUUCUGGACUGGUAAACUGACGCUGAGGCUCGAAAGCGGGGGGAGCGAACAGGAUUAGAUUCCCUGGUAGUCCACGCCGUAAACGAUGAGUGCUAGGUGUCGGAGGGGAACCUUCGGUGCCGCAGCAAACGCAAUAAGCACUCCACCUGGGGAGUUCGAUCGCAAGAUUGAAACUCAAAGGAAUUGACGGGGGCCCGCACAAGCGGUGGUGCAUGUGGUUUAAUUCGAAGCAACGUGAAGAUCCUUACCAAGGCUUGACAUCCCGGCGACCGGUAUAGAGAUAUACCUUUUUUUCGGAACGUCGGAGACAGGUGGUGCGUGGUUGUCGUCAGCUCGUGUCGUGAGAUGUUGGGUUAAGUCCCGCAACGAGCGCAACCCUUAUCUUUAGUAGCCAGCUGUAAGAUGGGCACUCUAAAGAGACUGCCGUGGAUAACACGGAGGAAGGUGGGGAUGACGUUAAAUCAUCAUGCCCCUUAUGUUUUGGGCAACACACGUGCUACAAUGGGCGGGACAAAGUGAAGCGCGACUGCGAAGUGGAGCAAAGCACAAAAACCCGUUCUCAGUUCGGAUUGUAGUCUGCAACUCGACUACAUGAAGCUGGAAUCGCUAGUAAUCGUGAAUCUGAAGAAGGCGGUGAAUACGUUCCCGGGCGUUGUACACUCCGCCCGUCACCCCCUGGGAGUUGGUAGCACCCGAAGCCUAUAAGGUAACCGUACGGGAGG
rnacentral:rRNA from 1 species